GGUGGGGUGGUAUAGUGGUAGAGCACAUGCUUAGUACUAAACACAUGAGGCCCCGGGUUCAAUCCCUGGUCCCUCCA
rnacentral:tRNA from 1 species